GAUGAACGCUGACAGAAUGCUUAACACAUGCAAGUCUUUGGCGAAGCUGUGCUUGCACAGCCUAGCCAAGGCGGACGGGUGAGUAACGCGUAAGGAACUUGCCCUGCAGUCAGGGAUAACAGACGGAAACGACUGAUAAGACCUGGUAAAGUCAGGCGGACUCAUGUCCAGCCUGAUGAAAAGAGAUGCUGCAGGAGAGCCUUGCGUCCUAUUAGCUUGUUGGUGGGGUAACGGCCCACCAAGGCGAUGAUAGGUAGCCGGCCUGAGAGGGUGGACGGCCACAAGGGGACUGAGAUACGGCCCUUACUCCUACGGGAGGCAGCAGUGGGGAAUAUUGGACAAUGGGGGCAACCCUGAUCCAGCAAUUCUGUGUGCACGAUGAAGGUUUUCGGAGUGUAAAGUGCUUUCAGCAGGGAAGAAAAAAAUGACGGUACCUGCAGAAGAAGGGACGGCUAAAUACGUG
rnacentral:rRNA from 1 species